rnacentral:rRNA from 1 species
AACGAACGCUGGCGGCAUGCCUAACACAUGCAAGUCGAACGAGACCUUCGGGUCUAGUGGCGCACGGGUGCGUAACGCGUGGGAACCUGCCCUUAGGUUCGGAAUAACUCCCCGAAAGGGGUGCUAAUACCGGAUAAUGUCUUCGGACCAAAGAUUUAUCGCCUUUGGAUGGGCCCGCGUUGGAUUAGCUAGUUGGUAGGGUAAAAGCCUACCAAGGCGACGAUCCAUAGCUGGUCUGAGAGGAUGAUCAGCCACACUGGGACUGAGACACGGCCCAGACCCCUACGGGGGGCGGCAGUGGGGAAUAUUGGACAUUGGGCAAAAGCCUGAUCCACCAUUGCCGGGGGGGUGAUGAAGGCCUUAGGUUUGUAAAGCUCUUUUACCCGGGAUGAUAAUGACCGUACCGGGAGAAUAAGCCCCGGCUAACUCCGU